AUUGAACGCUGGCGGCAGGCCUAACACAUGCAAGUCGAGCGGUAGCACAGAGAGCUUGCUCUCGGGUGACGAGCGGCGGACGGGUGAGUAAUGUCCGGGAAACUGCCUGAUGGAGGGGGAUAACUACUGGAAACGGUAGCUAAUACCGCAUAAUGUCGCAAGACCAUAGUGGGGGACCUUCGGGCCUCAUACCAUCAGAUGUGCCCAGAUGGGAUUAGCUAGUAGGUGGGGUAAUGGCUCACCUAGGCGACGAUCCCUAGCUGGUCUGAGAGGAUGACCAGCCACACUGGAACUGAGACACGGUCCAGACUCCUACGGGAGGCAGCAGUGGGGAAUAUUGCACAAUGGGCGCAAGCCUGAUGCAGCCAUGCCGCGUGUGUGAAGAAGGCCUUCGGGUUGUAAAGCACUUUCAGCGGGGAGGAAGGCGGUGAGGUUAAUAACCUCAUCGAUUGACGUUACCCGCAGAAGAAGCACCGGCUAACUCCGUGCCAGCAGCCGCGGUAA
rnacentral:rRNA from 1 species